AACGAACGCUGGCGGCAUGCCUAACACAUGCAAGUCGAACGAGACCUCCGGGUCUAGUGGCGCACGGGUGCGUAACGCGGGGGAACCGGCCCGUAGGUUCGGAAUAAUUCCCCGUAAGGGGGGCUAAUACCGGAUAAUGUCUGCGGACCAAAGAUUUAUCGCCUUGGGAUGGGCCCGCGUUGGAUUAGCUAGUUGGUAGGGUAAAAGCCUACCAAGGCGACGAUCCAUAGCUGGUCUGAGAGGAUGAUCCGCCACACUGGGACUGGGACACGGCCCAGACUCCUACGGGAGGCAGCAGUGGGGAAUAUUGGACAAUGGGCGAAAUCCUGAUCCAGCACUGCCGCGUGAGUGCUGAUGGCCUUAGGGUUGUAAAGCUCUUUUACCCGGGAUGAUACUGACAGUACCGGGAGAAUAAGCACCGGCUAACUCCGUG
rnacentral:rRNA from 1 species